CCAAGUCCCAACCCCAGCCAGGCCCAACCCAAACUGAACUCUUCUCCCCCCGACCCAAACCCCAGCCCCGCCGCCGGCCAACUCCAGUCCCUUCGCCGCCGCCGCCGCCGCCGCGUAGACGCGAGGACGCACACGCAUCCGCUACCACCGCGGCCAUGGUCCUCUCCCACCGCCGCUUCCUCCUUCCACCCCGGCCUCUUUGCCAUCGGCGCCGUCGCACCACUGCCGGCCCCUGCUCGAGCUGGUCAGGCGGCGUGCAGAUCCGCCACUGCCACAGCGUCGUCGUCCUCCACAACCACGCAGCGGCUCCUCGCCCGCGACCCUCUUCUCCAGUUUGGGGGCAAGGAAGGAGAAGCCUUUCUCGCUCGAUCUGGCGAGGAUGGAUGCGCAGCAAGGUGCACCACCGUGAUGAUGGGGAUUCAUUCUUGCUGCCACGAUUCGUCUCGUCGUCCUCCCCGGCAUUCGCAUAGGUCAGGCUCGUGGGGACGGUGAGUGGCAAGGCGGGGAGGAACACGGAUAUGUCACUUCAUCAGAUGGCAGGUAGGAGGUACAACGGCCAGCGACCGGGACGACACCAACAGCCAAAGGAAGCUUGAGGUCUGCUCCUUCUCCACCAGUAGAGAGGAGCCUCCUUUUUGGGUUCCGCGUGUCUGCUCCGAGCCUACCAGCGCCGAUGCCAUGGAAGAUUUACUCAGGCACGCGAAGCGUAAUGAGGAGCAGCUGCUGGGCGUGAUGUUGAUCGAUCCUAGCCUGUCUUCCGGCUCUCAGUGAUUUGCUCCUCGAGGUGUAUGCCGUGCUGCACCUGAAUCCUGUUGACUACGAGCAGCGGAACGCCUUGUUUGAUGUAUUCAGCAACAUGGCAACUAAAAUCUUUGGCCUAUGAAAAACGGCCUUUCAGUAUCCAUCGUACGACGGAGAUGUUGAAGAAGAGGCCGAUGAGGUGGUUCCUGACGGAUUUGAAGAGGUGGAGUGUUGCAUUUGAAGAGGUGGAGUGUUAUGCAACGGCCCAACCCAGGGAGGAGGCCCAAGGCCUCUCGUCGCUCCCGCCCGCUGGAGCCUGGAGGACUGGAGAGAGACAGAGGAGUGCCACGGCAGCUGAAGAUAAAAGGAAGGAAGUGGAGACAGAGAGGGUCGUCGACUAGCAGAAGGAAACACCUUCCCCCCUUUCAUUCUCCUCCCCUAUCGUGUACCCAGAUUCCUCCUCCCUUCCUCCUUCUGUAAUCGAAUUGGUCUAACCAGGUGCAUAACAAUUGGUAUCAGGAGUCGUUCGAUC